AACGAACGCUGGCGGCAUGCCUAACACAUGCAAGUCGAACGAGACCUUCGGGUCUAGUGGCGCACGGGUGCGUAACGCGUGGGAACCUGCCCUUAGGUUCGGAAUAACUCCCCGAAAGGGGUGCUAAUACCGGAUAAUGUCUUCGGACCAAAGAUUUAUCGCCUUUGGAUGGGCCCGCGUUGGAUUAGCUAGUUGGUAGGGUAAAAGCCUACCAAGGCGACGAUCCAUAGCUGGUCUGAGAGGAUGAUCAGCCACACUGGGACUGAGACACGGCCCAGACUCCUACGGAAGGCAGCAGUGGGGAAUAUUGGACAAGGGGCGAAAGCCUGAUCCAGCAAUACCGCGUGAGUGAUGAAGGCCUUAGGGUUGUAAAGCUCUUUUACCCGGGAUGAUAAUGACAGUACCGGGAGAAUAAGCUCCGGCUAACUCCGUG
rnacentral:rRNA from 1 species